CUGGUCUCAGAUUAACUUCUAGAGAAACUACAACAGCUGCAAGCUCACCCCUCUGAGUCCACUCUUUAUGGCGGGAGAGAAUGCAUCUGUUCUAUGUGGCAAGCUUUAACCUCAUAUGAUGGGGUCAGAGUAAAUGUUUUACUUUGAUUUACCAGUACAUCUAAGAUUCCUUACAACCGGAAGUGUAAUCUGUUUUAGAUGUUGUGGUGGAGGUGCAGCUGGACACCUCCAGGCUGUAUAAGGGCUAUUUGACCAAAAAGGAGAGUGAUGGAGUGCUGCAUCAGAUGACCUGGCCUCCACAAUCAGCCGACCUCAACCCACUUGAGAUUGUUUGGGAUGAGUUGGACCACAGAGUGAAGGAAAAGCAGCCAGCAAGUGCUCAGCAUAUGUGGGAACUCAUUAAAGACUGUUGGAAAAGCAUUCCAGGUGAAGCUGGUUGAGAGAAUGCCAAGAGCGUGCAAAGCUGCCAUCAAGGCAAAGGGUGGCUACUGUGAAGAAUCUAAAAUCUAAAAUAUAUUUGGAAUUGUUUCACACUUUUUUGGUUACUACAUUAUUCUAUAUGUGUUAUUUCAUAGUGUUGAUGUCUUCACUAUUAUUCUACAAUGUAGAAAAUAGUAAAAUAAAGAAAAACCCUUGAAUAAG